rnacentral:rRNA from 1 species
UACGAAGGGGGCUAGCGUUGUUCGGAUUUACUGGGCGUAAAGCGCACGUAGGCGGAUCGUUAAGUCGGGGGUGAAAUCCUGGAGCUCAACUCCAGAACUGCCUUCGAUACUGGCGAUCUUGAGUCCGGAAGAGGUGAGUGGAACUCCUAGUGUAGAGGUGGAAUUCGUAGAUAUUAGGAAGAACACCAGUGGCGAAGGCGGCUCACUGGUCCGGUACUGACGCUGAGGUGCGAAAGCGUGGGGGGCGAACAGG